rnacentral:misc_RNA from 1 species
GAAAUGCGAUAAUUAAUGUGAAUUGCAGAAUUCAGUGAAUCAUCGAGUCUUUGAACGCACAUUGCGCCCCCUGGUAUUCCGGGGGGCAAGCCUGUCCGAGCGUCAUUGCUGCCCUCAAGCACGGCUUGUGUGUUGGGCUUCCGUCCCUGGCAACGGGGACGGGCCCAAAAGGCAGUGGCGGCACCAUGUCUGGUCCUCGAGCGUAUGGGGCUUUGUCACCCGCUCCCGUAGGUCCAGCUGGCAGCUAGCCUCGCAACCAAUCUUUUUAACCAGGUUGACCUCGGAUCAGGCAGGGAUACCCGCUGAACUUAAGC